UCCGGAGAGGGAGCCUGAGAAAUGGCUACCACAUCCAAGGAUGGCAGCAGGCGCGCAAAUUACCCACUCCCAGCUUGGGGAGGUAGUGACGAAAAAUAACAAUGCGGGACUCUAAGAGGCCCCGUAAUUGGAAUGAGUACACCUUAAAUCGUUUAACGAGUAUCAAUUGGAGGGCAAGUCUGGUGCCAGCAGCCGCGGUAAUUCCAGCUCCAAUAGCGUAUAUUAAAGUUGCUGCAGUUAAAAAGCUCGUAGUUGGAUCUGGGGCUUGAGGUCGCUGUCUAUCGUUUCGGCGAUGACGGUGAUGCUCAGCUCUGCUUGCCGGUGACUGUUGCGGUGUUCUUCACUGAGCGCUGUAGCAGCACGGCACGUUUACUUUGAAAAAAUUAGAGUGCUCAAAGCGUGCUUGUCGCUUGAAUAAUGUUGCAUGGAAUAAUGGAAUAGGACCUCGGUUCUAUUUUGUUGGUUUUCGGAGCUUGAGGUAAUGAUUAAGAGGGACGAACGGGGGCAUUCGUAUUGCGGUGUUAGAGGUGAAAUUCUUGGAUCGCCGCAAGACGGACUACUGCGAAAGCAUUUGCCAAGAACGCUUUCAUUAAUUAAGAACGAAAGUCAGAGGUUCGAAGACGAUCAGACACCGUCCUAGUUCUGACCAUAAACGAUGCCGACCAGCGAUCCGUAGUGGUUGCUUUAUGGACCCUACGGGCAGCCUCCGGGAAACCAAAGUAUUUGGGUUCCGGGGGAAGUAUGGUUGCAAAGCUGAAACUUAAAGGAAUUGACGGAAGGGCACACCAGGAGUGGAGCCUGCGGCUUAAUUUGACCCAACACGGGAAAACUCACCCGGUCCGGACACCGUAAGGAUUGACAGACUGAUAGCUCUUUCUUGAUUCGGUGGAUGGUGGUGCAUGGCCGUUCUUAGUUGGUGGAGUGAUUUGUCUGGUUAAUUCCGAUAACGAACGAGACUCUAGCCUGCUAAGUAGUGUUGCUAUUGUUAUAUGGUUGACACUUCUUAGAGGGACAAGUGGCAUUUAGCCACGCGAAAUUGAGCAAUAACAGGUCUGUGAUGCCCUUAGAUGUCCGGGGCCGCACGCGCGCUACACUGGAGAAGUCAGCGUGUGUUAUCCAAGUCCGAAAGGACUGGGUAAUCCGUUGAACCUUCUUCGUGCUUGGGACUGUGGCUUGGAACUAUUCCACAUGAACGAGGAAUUCCUAGUAAUUGCAAGUCAUAAGCUUGCGUUGAUUACGUCCCUGCCCUUUGUACACACCGCCCGUCGCUACUACCGAUUGAAUGGUUUAGCAAGGUCCUCGGAUCGUGUCCGUAGGGGCACGCAAGUGUUUCUGCGGUUUGCGAGAAGACGACCAAACUUGAUCAUUUAGAGGAAGUAAAAGUCGUAACAAGGUU
rnacentral:rRNA from 1 species